GAGAGGCAGAGGCAAGAGGCCAAGGACACCACAGCAGUAUCGUGAGGUCCAAGCCAGCCUGGGCUGCAAGAGACCUCAUCUCCACAAGACUUCACAUAGCAAACUCCAGCUUCCAGAGGACUCUGCUGGGAUCACAGACACCUACCAGCCCAUCUGGCUCUUCUUGGGUUCCAGGGAUCUGAACUCAGCUGGUGAGGCUGUUAUGGCGAACCGUCUCCCUAGCUCUCCAUCUCCCUGGAUUUGGCCAGGCUGGCUGGCCAUAAUCGUCAGAGAUUAACCUACCCCUCUUCCCAGUACUGGGAUGACACACUGUCUCCACUGCACCUGGCUUUUUAGUGUGUACAGCAAGCCCUUUACAGACUGUGCCAUCUCCCUAGCCCCUCAUCUCUCU